UUUAUAUAAAUGGUGUAAUAGUAGAACUCAUUAACAAAAAUGGUGUGAUUUUUUUGGAAUUUAUAAAAGGGGCGUAAAACUCCACUCCUAGAGGCGAUUUCUGGCAUGCAUAGGGAAUUGUGCCAAAAGAAGUCAGGUAUUUUGUUUUUUUGUUUGGUAGUGAUUAACGGGUGAGAUUGAGAGGAAAAAAAUGAACGACCGAGAUGGCUGCGUAGUAAAAAUCACGGAUUAUUAUCGCACUUUGCAGAGGCGAUUUCUGCAAAAGCAGAAAGCACCUCUGCAAGAGGCGAUUUCUGCCAAAGCCUGCUGCAAACCUGCUGCAAAGGCUGCUGCAAAGCAGCCUCACUUUAUUUCGGUCAGCAAUAAUCGAGAGGAGGGGGUUGUGGGGUGGGGCUUGCAUUUAAAUUAGCAGGUGAAUGGAGGGGGUUUGCUUUUACUCGCUUCUCUUCUUCUUCAUUCUUCACAAGUUUUCAACACAGAAUUUUCAACCCAGGUAUUCCGUGAAAUCAUUUUUUUUUCUUUAACAAUUUUUUAACUUUUUUUAUUUUAAAUAACUUUGUUUAAUGUUUUUAAAACACGGGGUUGUUAUUAUAAUGUUAUAUUAAUUUAAUCUGUUUAUUUAUAUAUUUUCAGUUUUGUAACGGAAAAUUAUUAAAUACAGAAGGUGAAAGUAAAAAUACGAAGAUUGCAAUUGAACGGGAGGAUCGAGUUGUAUCCGAAGAACAAAGGGAUUGUUUAACAUCUAAUCAUAUACUAAUUUCAGGUAUUUUAAAGUGCUUUUUAAAAAUUUAUGACAUGUUAUUCAUUGCGUAAAAUGUGGUAUAGUAUAAUUAUUAGCAUAAUAUAAUUAUGUUGUUUGGGUUAAAGAAUUUUAAUAUUAAUUAUUUGAUAAUAAUUUUUUUAAUUAA